ACGAACUUGCGCGCGUCCAGGCGGAUCUCCACCCAGUUGUUGAGCAGGGCAAAAAGCGGCGCCAGCGGGCAGGCGGCCACGAAGAUGGUGACGAAUCCGAACUGCAGCACUGCGGGGCGCGAGGAGCCGCUGGCUGGAGCUGAGUGAUCCUGCCCCUGUUACUGGUUAUGCUUUGGUUGCCAGGCAACUCAGACGCGUGUUCUGCUGACGAAGUUAUGACUGUGCCAGAUCUCCCUUGUGUUAGUCAGGCACAAGCCCCGCCCUCAAAACCGUCACACCCCGCAAGCCACGGGUAUGGGCCACCACUUGGCGGUUUCACAGCUAAGGAAACCGUUAGAGGAAAUCAGCCCUCUAGGCUGACAUGGCCCAGCUGUACCUACCUACCUUCACAUGCUGGAGGAUCUUGGCUCUGCCCAGGACCCGCUUUCCCUAAUACACAGCCUCAGCUCCCAGGCAUCCCCAGCCCUCCCCCAUCCCCCUGGGUCUGCUGCCACCCCAUCUCUUCUCCAGACUCCCAGGGCCCCUUGUGCCCCCCACUUCUCAAUGACACAUUGCAUUUCAGGGUCGGCCAGGGGCAGUGUCGCUGUACUGUGGAUCUUACCCAUUUCAAGAGCUGUCCAGAGGCUGUGCUGGUGACGGGAGAGGCUGUUCUGAAGACCACAGUAUGACAUGGCGGUCUAGGGCAUGGCAAGUCCUGCCUCCCCUUUCAUUCUCCUAGCACUCUGAGGAAACCCUGUUCCCUAGAAGCUGCCAGGGCAGGGUGGAGGUGACUUACGGGACAAGGACCUCCUGCACAUUGUUGAUGAUCUGCUUGCCCACCAUGAUGACCAGGAGCUCCUGUGCCAGCUCAAUGAGGCAGCCUCCAGCCGCACACUGCAGCAGGACAACUUCAGGUGGCUUCUCCACCUCUACCUCCCACAGGACAUGCCUGGAGUACCUCGAGAAUUGCAGGGAUCAGCCCUUUCCACCUCACUUCAGUUAUGUGAGGGAACAACCACUGGGCAGCUGUACUUUGUGCCCUGUAGCUCCUCAGCCAACUGUAGCCACAGGCUCCAGGGAAGACCCAAGAUGUGGUAGUCAAGAGUCAGACCCAAGGGGCUCAGAGGUUAAGAGCACUGGCUGCUCUUCCAGAGGUCCUGAGUUCAAUUCCAGAAACCACAUGGUGGCUCACAACCAUCUAUAAUAAGAUCUGGCGCCCUCUUCUGUAUACAUAAUAAAUAAGUAAAUCUUAAAAAAAAAAAAAAAAAAAAAAAAAAAAGUCAGACCCAAGGAGUUUCUAGGAGUGCAUGCCAUGCCUGGGAAACUCAGCCACACCGUGGGAUGUCAUCCUCCAGGGUGGGGAACCUUGAGAACUCAGUCAGUGCUGAGGGCAGCACCUGGAUCCAGCCGUUCUUGAACCAGGGUCUCCAAUAAUUUCAGUGCAAGAGCGUGUGGUCGCCCUUUUCCUACCUACGCUAGUCUGAGCUGGGCAUCUCACUAAGAGCUGAAAGCUACCUCACAUGGCACAGCAGCCACAGUACGGCCCUGAGGUAGGGGCCCGGUUGCUCUGCCUCUCCCCACACAGUUCCUUCCCCUUAUGUGAAGUGGACAGCUUCCCUCAGAGAGGCGAGCCAGCUUGCAGUGAGAUGAGAUAAUGGCCCAGGCCCUGGGGAGAGGUCUAAAAAGAGAAGGGUCUUUCAGGUCUGGUGGCCAGUAAGGGCUGUGGAACGCCAUGUCUCCCAAGUCCAGCGCUACAGCCACCAGUGGACAGCUCCAGAUGUACCCACCACACUGCCUGCACCUCGGAUCAAUCCCGCACGGCCCUCAGCUAAUAAGGCCGCAAGUGUCAAACAGUUCUUUGGGUGUCUGGGCAACACAGGGUCCUUUCCUUACUCCUCCUGGGUAUUUGUGUUCGGUGUCUUGAAGCCCUGUCCCCUGCAGAGGAACCCACAUGCCAUCCUCCGCCAAGGCCACUGCACACCUGAGAAGCCAGGUUCCCCUGAUUCCCAAAGAGAAGCAGAGCACACUAGUGCCCGUAGAAGAGGACGGCCAUGGAGAACCCGGACAGUGAGGCUGUGGGGCGCUGGCCUCAGUGCCCCCCUCAUGGGGGGCUUCCUAAGGGCUCAGAUGCCUCCAGGGUGUGUAUUGGGUUAAAUCAGAGUAGGGCAAAGACCCAUGGUGUGUGUGUUCUCUAGACAGUGGUUGUGAAUCAGGACUGUGAAUCAGGGACUGAUGUGGUAGAGUCCUGGGGUCUUGGGAAGCAGCUGUAAGCCUGGCCUCUGGCUUGGACAGUGGUGGAAGGUGGACACAAAGAAUAACAUCAAGUUAAAGCCCCAGUGGGUACAGAGGGAGCCUAGCCGCCAUUCCCUGGCUGGGUGUGUCCUCAGCACACUCACCUCCUC